GUGGUCGGCGCUUGGAGGCGGGGCCGCAGCGGCCAGCCCCUCCCCCAGGGCCCUCAGAGCCGGCGGCGGCGGCGGCGGCAGUUGGGCGUCAGCGGACUUGGCAGCGGGGACGUUGGCGGCAGCGGCCCCUCAGAGCCUGGACCCUGGUGAGGGCGCCGACCCCGGUCGUGUGUGGCAGGCGACAGUCGCGGGCGCUGAGCAGGGACCAGACUCCGCUCGCGCUCCUCGUCCUGAACGCGCUGACUGACUGGAAGGUGUCGCCGCCCCGCGUGCCCCCUGAGGAGGAUGUGCAGGAUCCUGGGCCCAGUCUGUGCUGACUCAGCAGGCCUCAGUGUCUGGGAAUCUGGGCCAGAGGGUCACCAUCUCCUGCACUGGAAGCAGCUCCGACAUCAGUGAUUAU
rnacentral:lncRNA from 1 species